AGCCUGUGGGAUUAGCUGCCACAAACAGUGCAAGAGCCUGUUGGUGGUCGAGUGUCGGAAACGCACCAAGAGUAUCUGCCUGGACAGUCCAAACCCCACCCUCAGGAGGUCCUUCAGCUUCCCCGUCACAAACUCCAGCCCUGACUCUUCCAAUACAGUGACUGAGGAGGAAGUCGAAGACCUGGAGGAUGAUGUGCAAGAUAUCCAUCUUUGAACUACAGCCCAAAACCGGCUCCAGCCCUGAAGGGUAUCGAGGUGGGAUCGCUGACCAUCUCCCAUGCUCAACGUUGGCCAUGCCUCUCUCCUGCUCCCUGAGCGACAUUCCGUCUUUGGCUGGGAUUCGGGGAGCGGGUGGGACCGACACUGAGCCAUCGAUGGCCUUGCGGUGGUGGGCCGGCGUGGUGGGCAGACUGGACAAAAUGACAAUGCGGGGGGGGGGAUGGGGGGGAGGGGUGCGCGUUUCCUGAGCCUCCGGUAGGAACCAACUGGAUUUGCCUGUCUGCCGUUACCUACUCCUGUUCAUUUCUCCGCUGCUAAUUGUCACCCUCUGCCUGUUUGGGGGUGGCCAGGGAGGAAGGAUGGACUUGGAGGCCACACCAUCUUCGUCCUGUGUGGAAGUCUCCAGAUUGGCCAACUCGCAUUCUUAUGGCACUCGCCAGAGUGAUGAGUUGCAAGCUUGCGAUUCACCACACCAUCCUGGGGCUUGAGAGUUGGCCUCCAUGGUUAGAUCGCCCUAUUCAAGCUCUCAGUCCAGCAUUGAGGUGAAAUAUUCCAACAGGGCUGCACUGGCCAGAGUCAGCAAGUCCCUUCAUUCUUCAAUGUUGAGAACGAAUGGCUUCAGGGAUCCUGCCUCACCUUAGGCCUCUCAGUGCACACAGCCCUUGCUUAAAAUCAAACUGUCCUCCAGCAGAAGGCCACCCCCUCCUAAAUCACCCAUGACAGAAGGCUCCCCCACCUCCUCCAGCUUAAUUUAAAUCUGAUUAGCUCUUGUCACCCCUCCUCUGUCACUUUUUCCCAAGUUAGCCUCACCUUUUGUGAGUUUGAACAAUCACCUCCUGAACUUCCCUUUCCCAAGCGGUAUCGAUCGCAAGUUGUCCAGUCUCUCUGCAUUCCCAGCAUCCCUCAUCCGUCCAAAUCCUCUCCAAGGCCUUUGGCGUCCUUCCUAAAGAACUGGGACCGCAGGAGAACGUAGACCCUCAACAUUUCUGCGCCUCUCCACCCAAUUAUUUUCACUUUAUGUCGGCCAUUUAGUUUGGUCUCCUUUAACCUGAGACGUGGAGCCCGAGGUGUGGGCCUGACGUUUGUCACAAAGGGACAAUCUUUGAGCUUCGGGAGCCUUCCCUGACUUCUAUGGCCAUCGUUUUUGAGCUCGUCUGUGUACAUUUUCUUCCUGAUCCCCUAAAGGAGGGUGGGUUACGAAGUAAAAUCCAGCUUCAAAAAGCGUCCGUCGUAUUAUCCCUCCAGCCCUUGGCAGCUGGCCCGAGGCAUUUGAUCGGGAUGCACUGGCUCGGGCCUUGUCCAUGAGUUUUAAUAAAGUGUCAAUGGUGAUUUAA